AUUGUGAGUAUUGGCCAAAGUAAAUCUAUAUUAUGCACAAAUCCUGCUUUGCUUAUUUGACAUUUCUUUUACAGACUUCACAAACUGUCAGAAGGCUUUAUGCGAAGCACCUGGAGAGACAGAUAGAGCUGGCAGAUGUUAAAAUAAAACUGAAGAAGAGAAAGCUCCAAGAAAUGGAGCUGGAUCUUGAAAUUAAACGUCGGACACUCAGGAAACUGGACCUGGAAAUCCAGAAACUAGAAAGAGAAGAUCCAAGCAACCAAGGCAAAUGAGGGCUGCCAAAUAAAAAUUCAACUAGAAAACA